UACAAAUUUGAAUAUACAACUAUUUGAAAAUAAGUUGGGAUGUCACGACUUAUCGUCUAGGCACUCGGUCGUUUGUUUUUAGUAAAACGAUCUCAUGUUUACGAAUUGCAUUCACCUUUUGUUUUAGUUACUGUUAGGUUAUAGUGUAAUUUUGUGCACGGUUUUGUCAAGACAUGUAUGAGAUAUAGCCCCGGUAAUAUUAAAUGGUCAAAAUAAAUGUAAAUUAUUUCAAACAUUGUAUAUUUAUUUCUUUAUCAGAAUGUAAAUAUUAUUGUAACACGUAGAUAAAAUUAAUAAGUUGUUAAGUUAGUUUUUAAAUAGUUGUAAGAGUUUUAUAGACUUUAAGUUGCGGAAAAUAAUGUUCGAAGAUCGAAAAGAUGCGUGGUCGAGACUGCGGCAAAUUGCGGCCUGGAUGUUGGUCCACGUCGCGGUCGCUCGACGACAACGACAAAUCAAAAUGGGCUGUUUCGUUAGUAAAGACAAACUGACCAAGGAGGACAUGGACUUCCUCAAAACCCAUACAUCGUAUGAUGAGACCACUAUCAAAGAGUGGUACAAGGGCUUCAAGCAAGAUUGCCCUAACGGAAGAUUAACGCCUGCCAAGUUCGUGGACAUGUACAAGAUGUUCUUCCCAUCGGGUAACGCGGUUGAAUUCUGCGACCACGUGUUCCGCACAUUUGAUAUGGACAAGAACGGUUACAUAGACUUUAAGGAAUUUCUCCAGGCGAUUCACGUAACAUCAAGCGGUACACCCGAGGAGAAGCUGAAGUGGGCCUUCCGAAUGUACGAUGUCGAUGGGAACGGCGUCAUAGACAUCCAGGAGAUGACCAAGAUCGUCCAGGCCAUCUACGACAUGCUUGGUGCUUGCUCAAGUAACCGACCCGCCGACUCCGCCGAAGAGCGCGCCAAGAACAUCUUCGCCAAGAUGGACGAGAACAAUGACGGGCAGCUGACGCAAGAGGAGUUCCUCAAAGGGUGUCUGCAGGACGAGGAGCUGUCGAAAAUGCUUGCGCCUUAAACGGGCAGCAGGACACGCGUUACUAUGGUCCGGUCUCAUAACACUACUCACAAACCCAUAUAACCCGACGGCGGAAGCGCUGCCCACACGACAUCACACUACAUUCACUCUCGCCCCUCCCACAUAAAACAACGCGACUGUAAAUAAUUUCAACAACAAACAUUUCCCCUAUCUAAACUUUCAUACAAAGUUAUCAAUACAUUUUGAAUUAUUGGUUGUUUUGGCAACUCUCUUUGGAUGUCUAUUUAUAGAUCGGAUCAAAAAUAAUUUGCCUAGGAUUUAGUAUAAAUAGAUUACGUUGCUGUCGUGUGGCGCGGCAUGAAUAAAUGUGUGACCGCGAUCAUUGGCACAGUGUUUGCGCGUUAACGUCGCGAUCCGCUCGAGUGCAGCGCACCCUACAUUUAGUUCCCAAACAUCCGAUCUAAAUAUGAAUUGGAAAUCCUCUUUAAUGCAUUUUCACCAAUCGGCUAACGGCAUUUGAAUGUUUGAUCAAUACUCUUAGCUUCCGGCAAACUCACCGUUCUAAAAACAGCUGCGGCCCGUCGCGGUGUCAGCGGCGCGGCGCGGCCACGGCGCCUCUCCCGGCGCGCUACGUCGACGCGGACGCGGACGCGAACGCGAUAUUCACAAACGAAACUUUACCCCGACACGCACCUUUUAUCGAUGUGUAAAAAAGUAUUAUAAAAUUAAGCUACUAUCGAUGUAACGAACUUGACGUCAAUGAAUUCUCGUGUAAUGAUAUAAAUGUCCAUUCCUAUUGAUAAAUAUUUAUUAAUUACGUAUAUUCAACAUUAAAUUAUUUUCGCUGUCGGAUUGUCCGCUUCACAUUCAAUAUGCUCCAACCGUUUACGUUUAUGAGGACACACAUCCAAAGAAGCUCAGCCCACCCGAUACAUUAUCUUAUUCUGUCCGAUGACAUAUUAAUAUAAUAUUGCACGGUAUAAUCUAGUCAAUCUUAAAAUUUUACUAUUAAGGCAUAAAUUAGAGUAGCGAUUUGUGAACAGAAUCGGUCAGAUUGACCUGUGUACAGUGUACACUGGCGUGUGCAGUGCCGCGAACACUGCGUCUUCGGCAACAAGAUACGGAGUGUAGAGAACAAGCUGACCUGUUCUGUCGCGUCGAGAUGAUUUGUGUAAAAAUAACCGUAAUGUUUUCCAUGGUUAUAGUGAACUUUAAUAUAAUUUCUGUGGUAUCGGUGUUGUUUAUAAUAUAUCUCGUCAGGGAUCUUCACUCGGAAUAGUUCUAUAAUAUUAUGAACUUGUCUUGGCUUGUUCUUUGUAUUAAUCGCUUCGAAUGAUUUUUACGUUAUGAACUACUAGAGCGUCUUGUAUAGGUGAUGCACAUUAAUUCUAGUGUUGUAAUACAUUCUCAAUCGAGUAUCGACUUUCCUUCUACUAUUAUCGAUAUAUGUCUCACAUAAUUUCCCUACUGUGCCUUCUAGUUCUCAGUGUAAAUAUUUACUUUUUUUAACGUAAGCUUGCCCUUUCACAUUGAUAUUUUAUUUAUAAUUUGCGUGGAACUUUUGAAUCGAACGUGGCCAAAACGGAACCAAAAUCUUAGUGUGCCCUAGUCCUGUAUGAUUUAGAAUGUAUAUUUGUUAUCGAGGAUAUUCAACGUACCGUAAGUUAUUAUUCAUUCACCGUCGUGAUUGUGGUGUUUGUGAACGCACUGAAAAGGUCGCAAUAUUGUCCAUUAACUUAGGUUUAAUUUACCAUUGAAUUAUGUUUUUGUAAUAGUUUUCUGUGCUACAAUUAUAUUAUUAAUAAUAUAACAUUUUAUAAAGUAAGUGUCCGCUGACAGCGCAAUGUUUACGCACAAUUCUUCUUCAUGAACACAAGUAGAAGGUAAUUAAUCAUAAGUUUAUCAUAAAUUCAUUCGAUAAUGGAAACAUAACAGCAGCUAUUCAUGCAAAUAUAAUUUGAGUGAUUGGAGACAUCUUAAAUAUCUCGUGUUUAGCCUUUAUUUCCGCUUUAGUGCACUGGGAAUUAAGUUUCUCAUUAAUUUAUUGUCGAUACAUUCCACAGUCGAUGUGCGUUAAAUAGUGUUUAAGUAUAUUUUCAACUAUCUAUUUUAUGAUUAUGAUAAUUGUUUUAUAUUCUCGUAUAAUUGUAAGUUAAUUUAUUUUUGUAUAUAUUAUUUUUUAACCAUUUCACAUUAGGGAAAAUACUUCAACAGUAAAUCAUAAAAUGAUUCGAAUCAUGCAUUAUAAACGUAGGCAAAAGGGAUCAAUACUGUCCAACUCGAAACUGAAGGUAGCUGGCACAGGGUGUUGUGAACAUAUCACAAAUUGGAUGAUUUAAUUUAAAUUUAUAAAUUGAUAUCCCAUGCAUAAUUAAUGUUUGGAGAACUCGCCAUGGGCGACACGACUCGUAUGCUUAACAGUAUUACCGCUACAUAUCUAUGGAAAAUUUAAAACACGUUCGUCAAUUAUAAUGAUUUCAGUCAUAAAAUUAGCUUAUUUAUUUUAACGCAGUGGUGCACUCGGCACUCCGGUAUUCCCUCUGGCCAAAUUUCAUUGUCAUAAAUUUUCGAUUAUUAAAAUUAAUAUUUGAUUAUGAAUUAGUAAUCAAUAGUGCUAUAACAUGUAGGGCAUGCACGCGCUAGGAACCACUUUGACGCAAUAUUAAAAUUAAAGUCACUCACCUGAAAUGACGGGAUGCGCGGACCCAACUAACGGCACAUCGGAUGAUACACUCGACUCUUGUAUCUUCUUCCGACAUCUUGUAAAUCUAAAUAAAGAAAAUUCAUCAAAGAUAAUGGGUCAACAAUUUUCACUCACAACACUUAGACUUGGAUUAUAAUUUAGGCAACAUUAACUUCAUACAAAAUGCUGGCAGUAUUAGAAGUUUAAUGUUAUCAGACACCGAUUCUUUAGAACAGGUUUUAUGAUAUUCUAACCAAGUCUCCUAAACAACUAAAGUGAGCAAACAUUAUUACACGUAUAUUUUCAUCAGUAUCAUCAAUAUGAAAUAUUUUGCUGUGGUGUUAGUACGUAGAUUGUUCCUAGCGCGUGUGCUAUGUGAACGCGAUCCUAGCCUACGAGUCAAUCUAUUCAAAAACUGUUUGAGACGAACAAAACUGCGUUCGAAGCACGUCAUGUUUCUUUUGACUAGUAGGAUCGAUCGAAUGUAUUCAUGCUAUUGUAAGAACAGGAAAUGUUUCAAAGGUCGCGAUUUUUGUCUGGCAUGUGUCUCGAAACACCAGUGUUUACACUGAGUGCGCAUUCACUUGCUAAAGUACAGUUAAAAUCGUAAAGAACUUAACAUUUUGAGUACGAACUUUGUACAUCUAAUAACUUGAAUGCAGUUUUGUUUCCGUAGCGUUUCUAUUUCAUAUCUAAGCCUUUAACUUCCACUCUCUGACACACAAAUGUUUCAAUCUAUAAGCACUUCAGCACUGAAACGUAGUGAUUUCUCCUACCAUUUUGCUUCAUAUUACGAGUAAUAUUGAUGUUGAUAUAAAUGUAGCUCUUGCGUACGUGCCAUUUGAAUUUAGUUUUGUAUACAAUCUUGAUUAAAAAUAUUGUACGGCUUCGGUGCGUCUAUGUUUCUACUAACAUACGAUAAUGCCGAUGUUGUGUUUUGAUUGCAACGUAUUAGUUGGUAAGCAAGGAAUAGCGAAGUACAAGCAUAGACGGAGAUGAUAGCCUUUAUAUGUUUAUAUCGGAUUUGUAUUUAAUUUUUUAUUUAAUCAAUGUGACAUAAUUCUUCAUGGUCUCAAACUCUUUGUUAUGUAAAGGCACUACUCUGUCUUCAAUUAAAAAUUAACAAGGUUCGUAUAAUGAAGCCUACAUUACGAGGUACGUAUAUUAUAUAGGCAAAUAUGAAUGCACUCGGUGCAAUAUUCCGUUCGCACAGAUUAUAAAGCCGUUAUUUACAUCGUAAAAUAUUUUAGUUCGCGAAUGUCUUACGUACUUGACCUUAGUAGCAUCAAAAUGGUAAUUUGUUUCAAAAUGUAGCCCGGUGUGGUUAUCGUUAAGUCUAGACGAUGUAGUUACUUUGAUAAAUACUUAUCAACAUUCGGCGACACUUCUCAUUCAGUGUUUUUUGCGUCACCGAGGAGCGUGGAUUAUUUGUUUUAAAUCUCGGUUAGUGUGUUCUUAUUUAUUUGAAUAUUAUUUGGUAGUAUUACUUGCGCAAUAUUUAUGUGAUAUUACAUUUAAAACAUUGUAUUUUUUCAUAUUAAAUUAACAAAUUAAAAAUUAAUAAUGAAUCCGGACAGAGAGAUGGAACCGUUACUCAUUAUUUUUGUGUGCCAUACAUUUAUUUAAAAUUAUAAGUUUUUAAUUUCGGACAGAGUGGUGGUUUAAUUUUUUUUAUUAUAAUUUAAUGUUAAGUAGUCCAUACUAUUUAUUGUUAGUGAGCUUUCAGCACAAAUAAUUUGUUCGCCAUAUAAUUGUUUCUAUAGUACAUGUUUCUAGCUAUAGGAUAUACUUUUAAGAUAAUGUGUAACUAGCUGCGAUAGAUGCACAAAAAUAUUUAGAAGGAAAUAUUCCAUUUUGAAUAUAAUAUCUGAUCCCGUAGUGUUUAUCGAGAUUCGAUUGCAUUUAGUUUGUGCACAUUAAUGUUAAGCGAUUAAGGAGUCUCAAACAUUGUGAAUCGGUUUGUUUUUUUGUCCGUGGGUCUCUGUCGCAUAUAACGUCUUGACAAAACUGUGACGUUCCCGAUUGUGUACGUAGCGGCGUGUACAGAGUGUACAGUGUACUGUGUCCAUUGAGCGGCGCGCAUCUGACACGCGACCGCACGCGCACCGACGCGCCGCCCUCUACGCUCCGCUACAACUCGACAAUCUCGAAGUCUGAGUAAAAACAAUUUUUUUAAAAGUAUAUACAGUGCAUAGUAUACUCAUUAACUACAGCAAUCAUAAAAGGUGAAUUACUCGUCUGAACGAUUACGAGCCAAUGCUACAAUUUAACCCAAACAAUGCAAUGACGUCAGUUCCAUAAAGGGCACAAGACUUGAGCAACUAAAAGCGAACAGGUUGUGUUAAACAUUGUAGCGUCCUUCUCGAAUAAAAACUUUAAUAAG
rnacentral:misc_RNA from 1 species